GCUAUUGAGUUUAUAACUAUGAUUUUAUAUACAUAAUAAUUGUAAAAAAAUUAACCUAUCUUUUUUUUGGGUCUAUUAGCUUUUGAAGUCAAGGCUUUGAAGUGUAGAAACAUAUAGAUAUAGACUUUUUUUACUUAAGCUGUUGUGUAACACUGCUUAAGCUUUUGAAGUCAAUAGCAGAAUCCACUUUUGUUGUUCCAACUUAGUUGACACAUGCUUGCUUUGAUUAUUUAUUGGUAAGAGUAGUUAUUCUUGACUAAAAAUUAAUCCAUCCAAAUUUUGAAAAGGAAAAGUAAACUAGUUGGUUUAGAUUGUUAGAAAAAUAAAUUAAAUUUUGACUAAGUAUUUUAUUUAUUUAUUUAUAUAUUGUGUGCUACAAAAGAAUUUCAGGUUUUUAUGAUGGCUGAGUCAGGGGUGAAAAAAUUUAGCCCAAACAUCAAGAAGACUGGAAAAGGUGUGCUCCCUAAAAAUGAAAAAGGUCCAUAUUACUAAUGCUAAAAUAUGGAAUGCAUAGGAUCCAAGUAUCAAGGAACUGGCUGAACAGAUCAGCUUGAGGAGAGAAUGGCACGCAUAAAAGAAGAUCCAUCUUUGAAGCAUAUUUUAAAUGAGAUAGAGACUGGUGGUCCUACUGCUAUGAUGAGGUUUGGAUGGCAAAAUUUCUUAUCUUUUUGACCAUUUCAAAAUUUCUUUCAGUUCAAUGUUUUCCAAAUUUUAAAUAAUUUCUAAAGUGUUUCAGGUUGUUUGUGCAAUUUGUAACACUGAGCAGCCGGUAAGUAUUUUCUUCCAACUUAUUUAUUGGAGAUGGACUAGGCUGAAUUUGAUGCAUAAUUCCAGCUAGGAAUUGUUAAUAUUCUUGCUUCAUCAAUGAUGCUGAAUGUUUUUUUAAUCAAUUUGCAGAUACGGAAACAACAGUUUCAUUGUGAUGAUUGUAGAAUCUGUAGGGUUGGUGGUCAAGAGAAUUAUUUCCACUGCGAGAAGUGUGGGUCUUGUUAUUCAG